rnacentral:rRNA from 1 species
GAUGAACGCUAGCUACAGGCUUAACACAUGCAAGUCGAGGGGAAACGACAUCGCAAGCUUGCUUUUGAUGGGCGUCGACCGGCGCACGGGUGAGUAACGCGUAUCCAACCUGCCCACCACUUGGGGAUAACCUUGCGAAAGUAAGACUAAUACCCAAUGAUAUCCCACGAAGACAUCUGAAUGGGAUUAAAGAUUUAUCGGUGAUGGAUGGGGAUGCGUCUGAUUAGCUUGUUGGCGGGGUAACGGCCCACCAAGGCAACGAUCAGUAGGGGUUCUGAGAGGAAGGUCCCCCACAUUGGAACUGAGACACGGUCCAAACUCCUACGGGAGGCAGCAGUGAGGAAUAUUGGUCAAUGGGCGAGAGCCUGAACCAGCCAAGUAGCGUGCAGGAAGACGGCCCUAUGGGUUGUAAACUGCUUUUAGAAGGGAAUAAAGUGGGUCACGUGUGACUUUUUGCAUGUACCUUAUGAAUAAGGACCGGCUAAUUCCGUG